rnacentral:lncRNA from 1 species
GCACGAACGCCAACCACUAGCAGUAGAACGCUAGUGGCAGUGUUACCGGGUCGUGUGUACUGAUAGUAUUUGUAUCUUGUGUGUUAUUUUGUUAGGUUUGUGUGCUGUUAUUCGUGUCGAGCGGGUUGUAUUAAAUGUGCAUCCGUGUGGGUACA